GCUCCCUUCGUCUAGUGGCCUAGGACGUCGCCCUCUCACGGCGAAAACACGGAUUCGAAUUCCGUAGGGAGCA
rnacentral:tRNA from 1 species